rnacentral:RNase_P_RNA from 1 species
GAAGUCAGCCGGACAGUCGCCGCCCGUUCGCGGGGGAGGAAAGUCCGGGCUCCACAGAGCAGGAUGCCGGCUAACGGCCGGGCGUCGCGAGGCGACGGAAAGUGGAACAGAGAGCAGAACCGCCGAUGGCCGGGCAACCGGCACAGGCAAGGGUGAAAAGGUGGAUUCCUUCGGGAACGGAUCGGGCAACCGGUCCCGGUAAGAGCGCACCGCGGACGUGGCGACACGGACGGCAGGCUAAACCCCAUCCGGAGCAAGACCAAGCAGGGAGCGCCAACGCGGCUCGCGUUGUUCCCGGGUAGGUUGCUGGAGCGUGCGGGUAACCGUACGCCUAGAGGAAUGACUGUCUGGGACGGGCAACCGUCCGACACAGAACCCGGCUUACAGGCUGACUUCGCCA